UACGUAGGGUGCAAGCGUUGUCCGGAAUUAUUGGGCGUAAAGAGCUCGUAGGCGGUCUGUCGCGUCUGCUGUGAAAAACUCGGGGCUUAACCCCGGGCCUGCAGUGGGUACGGGCAGACUAGAGUGCGGUAGGGGGAGACUGGAAUUCCUGGUGUAGCGGUGAAAUGCGCAGAUAUCAGGAGGAACACCGAUGGCGAAGGCAGGUCUCUGGGCCGUAACUGACGCUGAGGAGCGAAAGCAUGGGGAGCGAACAGG
rnacentral:rRNA from 1 species